AUGUGGUUAAAUUAAGAUAUUCACUUGCACACAUCUACUACACCAUCCACCACCAUUCAUUAAAAUUGCUAAAAAUAUUAUCACUCACUGUCCCAAAUAUUGUUAUUCUCUCUCUCUAAAAAGAUUCAAUGCUGAAGAGGCAUGGGUUAUGCAAAAAUAUGCGAGGAAAUAAAAAGGGGCAAGUGCCCGGAACCUCGGAAAAAAAAAGAGUGAGACGAGAGGUAAAAAUGGACAAGUGUCCGGAGUAGAAUUAGGGGUACAAAGAUACCCACUUGAGCGGAAAAAAUGGACAAGUGUCCGACAAUAGAAUUAGGGGUGUCAACUACCCACCUGAAAAAAAAAGAUAGCCCAUGUUCUCCCAAAGCAAUGAUCAAAGAAGAGGAGAGAUAGCAAUAUGAGGAGCAAUGGGAAAUAAGUUUUAUUAUCACUUAUACAUCUUUACCAUCUCUAUCAUUUACUCCACC
rnacentral:lncRNA from 1 species